GGGGAGAGAGAGAGAGGAGAUAACAUCGGCUAAACCCGAACCCCGACCGCUGUGACAAGGACCCAGCCCUGCUCCACCAAGUGAGCCACCAGUUGUUUGUUACAGGAGCUGACGGAAGUGUGGAGCCGGACUGUGGAGUCAGACGUCCGCUACCGGAUCGGCUUGUUUCUGCUUUGUAACGAGCAUCCUGGAGGAAAUGUGGGGGAGAGAGAGAGAGGAGAUAACAUCGGCUAAACCCGAACCCCGACCGCUGUGACAAGGACCCAGCCCUGCUCCACCAAGUGAGCCACCAGUUGUUUGUUACAGGAGCUGACGGAAGUGUGGAGCCGGACUGUGGAGUCAGACGUCCGCUACCGGAUCGGCUUGUUUCUGCUUUGUAACGAGCAUCCUGGAGGAAAUGUGGGGAGAGAGAGAGAGGAGAUAACAUCGGCUAAACCCGAACCCCGACCACUGUGACAAGGACCCAGCCCUGCUCCACCAAGUGAGCCACCAGCUCCUGCAGGUGUUCUGCUCGCUGCUGCUGCUGCUGCUGCUGGAUGGACACGCUCAGCUCCUUCAGGACACAAAUACACUCAUCAGUAAAAACACUUCACACAGUUCAGACAGAGGACAACCUGUGUGUGUGUUCACCUGUUGCAGAGUCUGCAGGUGUUUCUUCGUCUCCUCCACCCGUUCACUGAGCAGAGACAGCAGCUCAGAGUUCUCUGAAACAGAAACCAGCAGAGACUCAAACGCACUGAUAAUACUCUGAGUUAUAGUCUGUACGUUCCAGUAUCGGCCGAGUCAAUAUGUGUUACUUUGUAUGUUACAAUCUUUUCGUUAUACUUUGCAUGAAAUAGCCUGUGUGUUUUAAUUAGUAUGUUCUAGAUGUAUGUCAUUAUAUUCUGUAUGUAUCACUGUUUGUAUAUCAUAAAUUAUAUGUUAUAGUCUUUAUGUGAUAAUCUGAAUCGUAAGUGAUGAUGUCAUACCGUUAAGCUGCUCCUGAGUGGCUGCUGUAUCUCUGACCACUUCCUGUUUGAGAAGCUGGGCGUGGCUGUGCUCCUCCCUCUGUUUAGCAAGCUCCACCUCCAUCGCUGACAGACUCCUGACACACACACAGACAGCAACGCAAGUCGUGCAGUCAAACCUUUAAAGCACAUUACAUUUAGUGGAUAGUAAUUGAUAAGGCACGACAUGUGAUAACACCAUCUGUAGUUUUUCACACUGUCUCAGGUUUUUAUGAUCUUUUCUGUUCUUGAGAAACUUGUUUUGUUUUAUAAUGGGCCAAAAUGUUACAUCUAAAUACAUCCACUUCUGAUUAAACUCUACUUUGUUUAGCACAUUUCUACAGACGGCAUGUUUGACAAUAUAACAAUAAACAUGUUUAUAUAUGUA